rnacentral:rRNA from 1 species
ACUCAAUAGAUACCCAGGUAGUCCACGCCCUAAACGAUGUCUACUAGUUGUUGGUGGAGUAAAAUCCAUGAGUAAACGCAGCUAACGCGCGAAGUAGACCGCCUGGGGAGUACGGUCGCAAGAUUAAAAACUCAAAGGAAUUGACGGGGGGCCCGCACAAGCGGUGGAUUAUGUGGAUUAAUUCGAUGCAACGCGAAAAACCUUACCUGGCCUUGACAUGCCACUAACGAAGCAGAGAUGCAUUAGGUGCCCGUAAGGGAAAGUGGACACAGGUGCUGCAUGGCUGUCGUCAGCUCGUGUCGUGAGAUGUUGGGUUAAGUCCCGCAACGAGCGCAACCCUUGCCAUUAAUUGCCAUCAUUUAGUUGGGCACUUUAAUGGACUGCCGGUGACAAACCGGAGGAAGGUGGGGAUGACGUCAAGUCCUCAUGGCCCUUAUGGCCAGGGCUUCACACGUAAUACAAUGGUAGGUACAGAGAGUUGCCAACCCGCGAGGGGAGCUAAUCUCAGAAAGCCGAUCGUAGUCCGGAUUGUUCUCU